CCCUAUUAUAGUUAAUGUAAUUUAGAUUUUGAGUAGUAUAUGUUUUGGUCAGGAAACUUAAAGAAUUUGGCGGUGUAUAUUCUUAUUAGAGGAAUAUGUUCUUUAAUUGAUAAUCCACAAAUAUCUUACUUAAAUUAAUUUAUUUUGUAUAUCUCCGUCUGAAAAGAAUUUUUUAAAAUAUUUCUUUCAUUUUAUAAUAUAAAAAAAGUCAGGUCAAGAUGCAGAUUAUAUUUAAGUUAGAAUGUAUUACAAUAAAUUUAUUUUUGGAUUAAAGUUUAAUAAGUUUUAUAAAAUUGGAUUUAUAAGUAAAUUUUUUUAGAUAACAAAAAAUUGAAUUGAGUUAAUAUACAUGCACACAUC
rnacentral:rRNA from 1 species